GGGGGCGAUAAGGUUUCGACGUGGGUUACAAAGCUUGAAGUGCAUGUCGAGGAUGUAGCUUAACCUCGUUAAAAAUAGCUGCAAACCAAAUAGUUGCCAAUAAAUAUAGCAACGACGCUGUUAUCUCGGGAGGUGAAAUUCUUCCGUUAGCCGCUUAAUAACCGGCGCAGCGCCAUCCACCGAUUGUGCUUGUACGGUUGGACGCUUACGCAAGUAAGUAGGAUGGUCAUAUAAUACAAGCUCGUACUUUGAUCCGUCCUUGAUCAAAGCAUUAAACAAAAAUGGAAUCGCUGUGAUAACAUCCUGCCAAUUGGAGGUGUGACAGCUAAAUGAAUAAAUUGGCUACACAUGUAGAUCUAAUAGCCGCGGAUUUGCGGACGCGGGUUCGAUUCCCGCCGCCUCCACCA
rnacentral:tmRNA from 1 species